UGGGGAAUAUUGCACAAUGGGCGAAAGCCUGAUGCAGCAACGCCGCGUGAGUGAUGAAGGUCUUCGGAUUGUAAAGCUCUGUCUUUUGGGACGAUAAUGACGGUACCAAAGGAGGAAGCCACGGCUAACUACGUGCCAGCAGCCGCGGUAAUACGUAGGUGGCGAGCGUUGUCCGGAUUUACUGGGCGUAAAGGGUGCGUAGGCGGAUGUUUAAGUGAGAUGUGAAAUACCCGGGCUUAACUUGGGUGCUGCAUUUUCAAACUGGAUAUCUAGAGUGCAGGAGAGGAGAAUGGAAUUCCUAGUGUAGCGGUGAAAUGCGUAGAGAUUAGGAAGAACACCAGUGGCGAAGGCGAUUCUCUGGACUGUAACUGACGCUGAGGCACGAAAGCGUGGGUAGCAAACAGGAUUAGAUACCCUGGUAGUCCACGCCGUAAACGAUGAGUACUAGGUGUAGGGGGGUAUCGACCCCUUCUGUGCCGCAGUAAACACAUUAAGUACUCCGCCUGGGAAGUACGAUCGCAAGAUUAAAACUCUAAAGUGAAUUGAC
rnacentral:rRNA from 1 species